UGGGGGCCGCUCGCAGGUGUUCGCUGGCGCCCGGAUGUCUGAGCUCUGGCUCCGCUCUGGCUCCGGCUCCCUCCGCAGCCUGCGGGCGGGGCUCCCAGCCCAUCCGGAGCCUCGCGGCGCCCCUGCCGCUCUGCCAGCAGCGCGGCCUCCCGGUUCCCAGCCUCCCGGCCUGGGGGGCCCCCCCGCCCAGCCGAGUUGCUGACCCGACUGCUUUCCCGCUGCCCCCAGCUGCGCUCGGGCCGCUGCAGCCUCGGCGCGCCCCCACCCCGCUUCCUGCCUCGGCAGCUUUGCCCGGACCGGGCGGCCGCCCUGGAUCGCACCCCGUUCCUUCCUUCCUUCAUUCUUUCAGGCAACUCGCAUUCCUCGAGCGCCUGCGACGUGCCCCGUACAAGGCCUCUCCGACCUUCGGAGUGUGGCCCACCGGGGUCCUCCCAGAAGCCUCUGCCCUCCUCACCCCGCCCUGGACUCUCCUCUCUGAUGUCCUGUUUCACUCAGAGGGUAGCAUUUAAUUGUUCUCUGAUUAUUUCUCCUGUUAAGGGUCAGUCGGUGGCAAGGUCAAGGGAGGGCUUUGUGACCGAAAUCAGGGGUCAGUCUGAAAGUAGGGUGAGGGAUCAGAAUGUGGCCAGAGUUGGGGUUCAGCCAAACCGUGGCAGGAUUUGGAGAUAGUGUGGGUAGGAGUUGGCAGCGCUCUGUCUAUGGCCAGGCUUUAUAGACAGGGAGGGUGUGAGGGUUAGUGUGAAUAGCAUCAGUAGCCAAGAUUAGUGAGUCAGUCUUUCGGUAGGGUCAGUGGACAAUCUGGAUCAGGGUAAUAGGUCACCCAGAGACCAGGAUUUGGGGGUUGACUUUGACAAGCCAGUUAAGGGGAGGAGGGCGCUGUAGCUUUCUGAACUCACAUUAGUGGUUCCUCUGUGGGCAGGGGGUGGGGGUGGUGGUGACCAUAGCUUCCCCCUGCAUCGUCCAGGUGGAGCUGGCCUUCCGUCUAGGACACUCAUUGUCCUCAACAACACCCUGCUUUGAUCAUGUGCCAGAUGUAGGGGAGGGGUAGGUAAGGGGGGCAAAACUCUCAUUGGAUCAGACCAUGGUCAGAAUGGCAGUAACACUGGCCAUGGCAGGGAGGCCCUAGGUGUCCCAGGAACCCCAUCUUGGAGUCACCCAUGUUUAACAGGGCCCCUGGCAGGUCUUACAGUGGGACCAGAUGUAUGAAGGCAUUGACUUAAAAAAUAUGCACAACCUUAAAGGUGAGAGUUAAGUUUUAUUUGGGGAUAAAAUGAGGACUGUAGCCUGGGAGGCAGCAUUUCAGAGAGCUCUGAAAUCCUGCUCCAAAGAGGUGGGGGGAAUGUGGGUGUAGAUGUGAUUUUGGUGAAGGGAGAGGUUCCUGCAGCCAUGCACACGCUUCACAGAAGUUAGCUGCUUGUCUCCCGAAGGUCACUGCUAGUCCCGAGGAGCAGGUGUCACCAUGAAGGAUUUUAGUGCUUUUCUAGAUACGAGGAGACGCAAGAAUCGGGCUCAUAAAAUCUCCUGAAAGCAUCUAUCUAUCUGAAGACCUGUUCUGCCAGUUUUCCCAGAACACAGGUUUGACUCCAUAGUCAAAUACAGCAGCAAGAAACUCUUCAAAAGAGGCCAUUUGAUAGGGCACAGCAUUUUCAUCUCUGUGGUAAUAGGAGAUGGGGGUUGGAGGCUGCCUCCAUUUCAGCCUUGCAAGGCUCACAGAUAUUAGGGGACCUGUCAGAUGUCACCCUGGGGUAAGUGUCAGAGCCCAAGUCUCUAACCUGUUGAUGUCUGCAGCUCUUUUAAAUCUUUGUACAAACCAACGCCGCAUAGAAUGGUCUUCAAACAGCCAUCACAGCCCUGCUGUGCUUUCUGUGAGUUCGGGAAUCAGACAGAUGCUGGUUGAAAAUGCGGGCUUUGUCGUCUAGCAGCUUUCCCAUCACAGGUAAGUCAUUUAUGCUCCCAGAGCCUCCGUGGUUACUGUGAUGAUUCAAGUAGAUGACAUAUGUAAAGCACCUGGCACUUGGGAGGCCCUGGGUGACCCCCCACCCCAGGGCCUGCUGGGCAUGGUUGUCAGAUUCCUCACAGAAUUCUUCCAUCAUCUCUCCUGGUGGUGGUGUGGUUGGCCCAGUCCAGUCACAGCAUCUCAGCACUGCCUGUCCAGCCUCUGUGCUCUUCAGAGCCCUUCCACACACAUGCAGGAGUAUCUGAUCAGCAGGACAGCUCGGUGCAGGGACUGAAAAACUGGGGCUGCACCCCGGGGUCCCCACUCUUAGGCUCUGCCACUUCGAACAAGCUCUUUCACCUCUCUGAGCCUCAGAGAGCCACCACAGAGCCCUGCUGAGGGUUUAGUGAGGAACUAAAGGCAAGCAUCUAGGGGCCUGCUAGCACGUGGAGGCACUCAGUAAGUCAGAGGCAGAGUUAGGAAUAGUCCUAUUUCACAGAAGAAGAAACUGAGUCCCUCAGGGGGUAAGUGAUUCAUCCAGUGUCAUGUGGAAAGAUCCCUUCACAGACCUGGGAUUAAAAACCACAUCUUCAGAGUUCCCCUUUGUGGCUCAGCAGGUUAAGAACCCAACAAUUGUCUGUGAGGAUGUGGGUUCAAUCCGGGGCCUUGCUCGGUGAGUUAAGGGUCUGGCAUUGCCACAAGCUGUGGUGUAGGUGGCAGAUGAGGCUCAGAGCUGGCAUUGCUGUGCCUGUGGUGUAUGCCAGUAGCUGCAGCUCAGAUUUGACCCCUAGCCGGGGAACUUCAAUGUGCCGCAGGUACAGCCAUUAAAACAAAACAAAACAAAACAAAAAAAAA
ensembl:lncRNA